rnacentral:rRNA from 1 species
GAUGAACGCUAGCGGCAGGCUUAAUACAUGCAAGUCGUGGGGCAGCAUGAAGUAGCAAUACUUUGAUGGCGACCGGCAAACGGGUGCGGAACACGUACACAACCUUCCUUUUAGUGGGGAAUAGCCCAGAGAAAUUUGGAUUAAUACCCCGUAACAUAGCGAUGUGGCAUCACAUUGCUAUUAUAGCUUCGGCGCUAGAUGAUGGGUGUGCGUAUGAUUAGAUAGUUGGCGAGGUAACGGCUCACCAAGUCUACGAUCAUUAGCUGAUGUGGGAGACUGAUCAGCAAAACGGGCGAUGGGACACGGGCCCGACUCCUACGGGAGGCAGCAGUGAGGAAUAGUGGUCAAUGGGCGAAAGUCUGAACCAGCCAUGCCGCGUGAAGGAUUAAGGUCCUCUGGAUUGUAAACUUCUUUUAUAUGGGACGAAAAAAGGUCUUUCUAGAUCACUUGACGGUACCAUAUGAAUAAGCACCGGCUAACUCCGUGCCAGCAGCCGCCGUAACAC